AAACAGGAGGUGUUGAUCUUGGUUUCGUGGAGUUGGAGGUUUUCAGCUGCGUCAGGUGGUCUAGCAGAGCCAGCGAUGGAGCUUGUCAGCAAUUUCUUGCAGUUUUGAUCACGCGCUAGGCUUUGGUUUACUUCUUUGAUUUCAAGGAUCGCUUGGUUUUUGAAGCUUUGCGAGUUGGUAGACCGAGGCCUGAGAACAAGUUGAGGUUUAUGUGGGCGAUGCUUGGCGGAACGCACUUUUGCGACGGGAGAGGAGUACCAUGAUCACGAGGAGUCGAGUUGGAGGAGCUUCGAACAUGGAGGCCAGUGGGGACCAAGGGACUGUGCCGUUGUCUAUGAUUCCGCUCCUGGAGGUGGCCUAUAGUAAAUGUCAAGAAGAAGAGAAGGAUGGUUUGGAACAAAGAAGCAGUUGGAAUACGAAGCGGGAGCCGGAAGGUGGGAAGAAGCGGAAAAGGUCUUCAAACUGGAGCGAAGCCGAAACAAUUCAACUGCUUUUGUUGAGGAAAGCACAGCUUCAGAAUAAAGAGGAGAGAAGAGCAUGUCCGAAGGGUUCCAGCGCAUGGGACGAGAUAGCCUCUCAACUGAAAGAUAAAUUCAUUCCCAGAUCCGGGAAGCAUGUGGGUGAGAGGUGGGACACUCUCAGACGCGUAUACAUGGAUAUUGAAGAGCACUGUUCUGAACAUCAGAAAACCUAUGCGGAGGUUUUAGAUGCGAACAGAGAAUUAUUUAAAUUUAUUCCCACAGAGUAUACGCAGAAGUGGCAUGAGCUGAUUGCAGAUUGCAAACCUGGGAAAAGGAGGGGAAAGAAAACCACCGAAGCUGUUAGCUCGCAAAAAGAUUUGACGUCCUCGUUGUUUACUGAGGCUGCACCUCUCAAGACUGGGCCAGUGAUAGAAGAGUAUCCUAUGACUUCUCACAAACCUUCAGAUGAAUCUGGUUCUCAGGGCGAUGUGAACCUACUGAAGCUUGACAGAGCUGCUGCUGACGCCGCACAUAUUGAAUAUAGACCAAGUGAAUCGAGUCCAACAUUACGCGCACAGUCCUCUCAAAUCGCAUCUGCAUUUGAUACACUUAUCAAAGAUAUAGAGCAUAUUUUCUCUCGACAAAGAUACCAGCACAAUUCCAGCCAGAGAUGUGAGAGAACAUAUGCUAGGAGAACAAGGGACUGUGACGAGAGGGUCGACGGUAAUGGCGUAGAACGAAUGAAUGAUAUGUGUUACUCAAGUAAGAUGAAUGUGGUUGCAUCCCUGCAAUCUGUGCUGGAAGCAUUGAAGAGUGCAUCGGAAUUCACAAGUUCAGAUUCAUAUCUCCUUAAAAUAGACAAACGUGAAUGGAAUAUCGUGGAGCAUAACAUGCGUGCUUUUUCGGACAGGCACAAGAACAACGCGCAGCCUAGACCUCGCCCAGAAGAAAAAACAAAUAACAGUUGUGCAAGGAAUGAGCUUUGAUCUUAGACCCCAGAUAGCGUGAAUCGCCAUGGUCAGACGGUUGGUGAAGCAAAAUAUCGAUGCUUUCAAUUUUUUCAUCAACUGCGAAAUGACGAUCAUCCAUUCACGGGGGAUCUGUAAAGUGGCCUUCAACGAAGACCCAAAUCUCGAUUUGAAGAAUUUUAAUCUAUGGAUUUAGAACUCUACUUGCAGUUGGCAGACGCAUGAGUUGUUGGAGUCUAGACAUCAUACUGAGACUUACUGGGUGUAUUGUGGAAGAGCCACCCUCACUACACAUCAUGGUAUUGUUGAAAUGGAUGACAUAUAUGAAAAUAGGAGCACAGGUCAUUGAUUGAGUUGUGCUACAAAGCUCUCCUCGGAACAAUUUGAUGGCCUACUAAUUGAUUCUGAUGCAGUCAGUACCUCGUUUGAUGGAACUUUUUCUUCCCAAUGGUCUUGAAAAUGUAUCUAGUUGGUGACAUUCACAACGUGAUAUUAACAUCAUCUCUAAAUUAUAGUGUCGCUACGACUUUUGUGAUAUUUAUCACUUCCUAUCUUAAUUUUACCCGUGGUUAAUUUCCAUGGAAAUAUCUAAUGGCA